rnacentral:rRNA from 1 species
GACGAACGCUGGCGGCGGGCUUAACACAUGCAAGUCGAACGGAAAGGCCCUGCUUUUGUGGGGUGCUAGCGUGGCGAACGUGUGUGUAACACGUGAAUAACCUUCCCCUGGCUUUGGAAUAACUUCAGGAAACUGGGGCUAAUACCGGCUAGGAGAUCCUGCUGCAUGGGGGGGGUUGGAAAGUUUCGGCGGAGGGGGAUGGACGCGCGGCUUAUCAGCUUGUGGGUGGGGUAGUGGCUUACCAAGGCUUUGACAGGUAGCCGGCAUGGGAGGGUGACCGGGCACAUUGGGACUGAGAGACGGACCAGAGUCCUACGGGAGGCAGCAGUGGGGAACAUUGCACAAUGGGCGGAAGCGUGAUGCAGCAAUGUCGCGUGCGGGAUGACGGUCUUCGUGUUGUAAACCGCUUUCGCCUGUGACGAAGCUUGAGUGACGGUAAUGGGUAAAGAAGCACCGGCUAACUACGUG